UACUGAAGUUGUUGUAAUAACACGAAAUUACAAGUUAACAUCAUCCAAACUACAAAAUAUGUUUUAACUUAAUCUGUGUCCAACUAAAUCAGUAAUGCAUGUAAUGCUUGACCGUGGAGGCAGUUUGGUGGGUGCGGGGAUUAAAAUCGCCUAUGUUAUCAUGUUUCUGUGACUGUUGGCGGUCAGCGACAUGCUUCUAUCCUUGGACAUUUAGCUGUCGUCGUUGCCUCAUCCCGUUUUCAAGGUGAGUAAUCGUGUAAGCGUGUCAAGUAAGUGUGAACACGUUUUUCUGGACUAUAGCGUUCGCCAGAACAUAGUUUUGGCUUUAGCUAAAGUAACGUUAGCCAGAGAGCCCCUGCUUUGUUUUCCAUGCCCAAACAUUAGCCAAUGAGCUAACAUAUCCCUCUGUGAUAACUUUGUGGACUUCAUGUCACUCAGACCAGCAAAAAGUAUAUUAAGAGUUAUAAUAUCCCGUUAGCAUUAGGUGACUUACACACCUAACCUUGGUUGCUGUGAAGCUAACCUAGCUAAUAAACAUUUGCUGCUUGAGCUAAAGCUAGUGUUAGCUAGUUACCUUCUAAUUGGUUGAGUAGCCACGUAGUGUCAGUCAGUGGUAAGUUUAUGAGCUGUUUGAUUGUGGUGGACAUAUUCAGUUCAGUCCAGAUAAAUUGACCCAGUGUGGUGAGCAACUUUACAGCGUGGCUGCUAUCCUGGUUGUUGACUGUUUUUUUACCCCACAUUCACCUCAGCUCAUCAUUUCAAGGUACUGCUGCCAUCUGCUAUAAAGCAUGUGAACAUAUUGAGGUGUGAGAGUCUCCUUACAAUGAUAGUUAAAUUAGUUUUCAUUGGUCUGCCAGCAUUAGGUAAACACCUGAACUCUGUUACUAACAAGCUAACGUUAGCUAGUUCCCCCACAUGCUCUUUUGUUCUCUCCUUAUCUUUUCAUAGGCACAUAAGAAAUGUGCUUGUUACAUAAAUUGUUUUUCUUGCCUUAUCUUUGCUUAAUUAAUUGCACAUACUCAUUGCUUCUCAUUUAAGUAGUUAUGUAGGUGUAAUUUUAGUUGGUGAGCUGGACGCCUACAGUUUAUUCCAGUUAAUUUACUGGUGUAUAAGCAUUUUUAUGGCAUGUCUCUCAUUUGCCCCCGGCCACUGCUUACUGCUGCUACCCGCUUUAGAGCUUGUGAACACAGUGAGGUGUGAGGAGGAGGUGAUAGUGGACAUGGGGGCGGUGACGCGAUACGGUCAUCUUCACUACAUGCACGCCAAGAAACAGCAGCGUGGGAAAAGUAAAUCCUCCUAAGUGCUUUAUCACUGUAAUGGUUAUGUGGAAUUAAAUGUCUCCUAGACAGAUUUCUGAAAUACAGCACCAUUCUGACUUCUUGCAGUCAAUAUCAUGAACUUUAAAUUAGAUGUGAUGGUUACCAUAAUAAAUCAUUGUAAUUAUGCUGUACAGAUACUGAUGCUGGCAUGGGGAUACUGCAGCAGCCUCUGGAGUAUUCCCACUGAUAUGAUAACUUAGCUAACUGCAUGCCCCUGCUGUAAUCAAAAUAACAUCUUAUUGAAAUACAUUACUGAUAUUCAAGAGAGAAACUAUGUGCAGUGAAAGCAAUAUAAUUACAACUGAUAUUUUCCUUCUUGUUUCAGGUCUGUGUAGCAAAAAUAGCUUUUAUUUUUUGAAUGGAGUGAACUGGGAAGUUACCUUUUUGUCUAUUUCUCACAUUGCUUAAUUCACUUUUAUUACAAUUGUGCUGUAGAAUAAUCAUUGAUAUACAGGCUGUAGUGCCAAGGUGAAUCUUGAGUAAUGAUAAAGAGCUCUUGAGACUCACAUGCAGGCGUUAUUGAUGAAAUGUUCAGAUAUGCCACCAACAAGUUAUGUCAAUGAACCAGUGGUUCCCAACCUAGGGGUAGCGACCCCAUGGGGUUGUGGGGAGGGUGCUAAAAUAGGUUUUUAAGACAUUACAACAGUAGCCACAGACAUUACUGUCCACUACCCUGCAUAUACACAGACUGUGCACAAUAUUUCAGAUCUAAAAAAAUCCCUGCAGGUCCAUUUGUGAGAUCAAGGGGUCAUAGAAGCUGGUUCAACCGGACUUGUUGGCUUUAAAUUAAAAUGCCCAUUAUGCGACUUUAAUGAGGCAGUUGGCCUAAAGCAAUGUAUUACUCAUCUUGGUAAAUAUCUGAGGAAUAGGGAAACCUGUCCUUUUAAUCAGUGUCCUUGCAAAUCAAACAUGUUCUCUAGUUUUAUGUCACAUAAAUGCAAUUGUCACCCACAUUCUACUUUAAAAGUCUUGAAGACAGAGCUUAUUGUACAAGAAAGUGAAACUGAGGACUUGACAGAAUGUGAAAUAGCCGUUCAACUGCAAUCAGAUGUUACUGACAGUGAUAUCCGUGAGCCACUGGAGGAUCAGUCUGACAAUGAAACAGAGCACUAUGACACCACUGAAAACAUUCAGGGAAAUGCUUGUAUCUUUACCUCUAGGAAAGCAAGAAGUUUUGCAUGUUUCCAAAUUAUCCACUCAGGAAAUAGUCGAUGAAUUUUAAGAAAUUGGUUGUUUUGAUUGGUGACUGGUUCAACUGAACUACUGGAGCAACAACUAGAGAUUGUUUUAUUCCAAGAAGACAAAGUAGUUUUGGCCACUCUGCUUUUUCUGUCAAAGCAUCUCAAGAUUGGAACAACUUACUACGACACAUAAGAAACCGCGCCAAUUACCAUUCAUUCACCACAAUGUUAAGAGUCUGGUUCAUUAGAAAUCAAACUUGUGAACACUAAAACAGUGAUGUGCUUUUCGUGUUGUCUUACUUGUCAUUAUUAUGUUUAGUGGAAGAGCUGCUCUUGUUUAUCACAGGCUUUGUAUGUAAUAUCCACACUUUACCAGCCCUGACAUUGUGUGGUUGUGCUAUGUGUUGAUUGUUGUCAUGCUAUUGUUGAUUUUGUGUGUCUUAAGAGCUGUCUUUCUUGUCUCUAUGCAGCGCAGGCUUGUUUGUAUCGGCAUAUUCUCACCGCUUUUUAUUGUUGAUUGUAUCUUCAACACUUUUAUUUGUAAUAUUUGUGCUUCCAACUUUUGCCUGCCCAGGAACAACAGAUGAAAAUUAGACUUUUUCGGCUAACUCUGGCAUAUUUUCAGAAAUGUAAUAAAAGUAAUAAAAUAAAUACAAAUAAACAAGUAUACAGUAAAAAAAAAAAGGUACUCUGGAAGCACUGUUGUAACACUGAUGAAAACUCAAUAACAUUAGUAACAGACUCCUCACACAGCCUCAGUUCACUUUAGUCCAUUUCAGAGAGCGGGUGUCUGGGAUCAGAACAAAGAGAAAUUUGGUGUCAUGGACCCAACUGAAUAUGUUUUAGAUUUGUCAUCAAAGAAAAACAUUUGUUUAUGUCCCAGUUCUAAAACUCUGCAAGUAGUGUUAAAUAAGGGUGAUAUUAUUGACAAAGUUUUAGAAGAAGCAAGCACAGGAUCGAAACCUGGCCAUUACUAGACCUUGUUUGACAGAUCAUAUUUCAAGGAGAACCCACUUCUGUCAGGGGAAGAUCAAUGUAUUUCUUUUACUCUCUAUGUUGAUGAUUUUGAGGUCUGUAACCCUUUAGAAACCUCAAGACAUACAUAAAAAUAAUGUUUCUUAUAAAUAAAUAUAUGAGCAAAAUCAUUUUACUUUUUUCCCCCCUUAAAGUUAAUGGUGGUAAAAGAAGUGUAUGAGAUGGAUUCAUAGGUUUAGUGUUGUGCAACUGCACCUAAUUCAGUUUAUGUUGUGUUUGCAUCACCUGGACUGGAUCACCUGGCCACACCUCCCUUGCAGACACCCGUUAAACUCAAACAAAGAAGUAAAAGAAGACUGAAGCGGACUUUGCUCGCCUUACAUCUGCUGACCUGACAGGUUCCCUCUUCGCUGUGCUCGACCAAUACCUGGCGAGGUUCCCUGAGCUGCACGAAGCCAAGAGCGGCACGUGAGGCCGACCGGAGUCAAAAGACGGCGUGAUGGUGACUGUUCCACAAACAGGAAGAUGACACCUCUUCUGUUGGGCCUUCUUCAUCUUCUCAAAGAAGAUCCCUCAUGUUUCUUCAAGACUGUGGUGUAGUGAUGUGCGGGUCAGGGGGUUUUUAAUACCCACCCGACCUGUUUCUAAGGGCCCUUUGCAUUUUUUUAAUCUUUGAUGUCCUGUCAUUAAUCAUUAAUUUAAUAAAAUCUAUCCCUGUCUUGUCCAUAUUUCAAUACAUUCCAACAAUCUGGACAUCCUUGAAAGAAAUCAUUUAGACACCUUCAGAUUGAAGCUAUUGGAACAACCUUGGGUCAAUCAGCAGAAAUUGAAAAAUUGACCUCAUGUGC